GUCUACGACCAUAUCAUGUCGAAAACACUGGUUCUUGACCGAUCACCGAAGUUAAGCAACGUCGAGCCCGGUUAGUACUUGGAUGGGUGACCGCCUGGGAAUACCGUGUGUUGUAGACA
rnacentral:rRNA from 1 species